AGAACGAACGCUGGCGGCAUGCCUAAUACAUGCAAGUCGAACGAGACCUUCGGGUCUAGUGGCGCACGGGUGCGUAACGCGUGGGAAUCUACCCUUGGGUUCGGAAUAACAGUUGGAAACGACUGCUAAUACCGGAUGAUGACGAAAGUCCAAAGAUUUAUCGCCCAGGGAUGAGCCCGCGUAGGAUUAGCUAGUUGGUGAGGCAAAGGCUCACCAAGGCUACGAUCCUUAGCUGGUCUGAGAGGAUGAUCAGCCACACUGGGACUGAGACACGGCCCAGACUCCUACGGGAGGCAGCAGUAGGGAAUAUUGGACAAUGGGGGCAACCCUGAUCCAGCAAUGCCGCGUGAGUGAUGAAGGCCUUAGGUGUAAAGCUCUUUUACCCGAGAUGAUAAUGACAGUAUCGGAGAAUAAGCUCCGGCUAACGUCCGUGCCCAGCCAAGCCGAC
rnacentral:rRNA from 1 species